rnacentral:rRNA from 1 species
CACGUAGGGUGCGAGCGUUGUCCGGAAUUAUUGGGCGUAAAGAGCUCGUAGGCGGCUUGUCGCGUCUGUUGUGAAAGCCCGGGGCUUAACCCCGGGUCUGCAGUGGAUACGGGCAGGCUAGAGGCAGGUAGGGGAGAACGGAAUUCCCGGUGUAGCGGUGAAAUGCGCAGAUAUCGGGAGGAACACCGGUGGCGAAGGCGGUUCUCUGGGUCUGUACUGACGCUGAGGAGCGAAAGCGUGGGGAGCGAACAGG